AUGCAGAUCCUCCGGCGGAACCUCCUCGAAGCUUCCCGCCGUCUCUCCUCCCUCCUCCACUCUCCACCUCCCGCCGCCCAAACACACGCCCAUGCCGUCGCCACCCUCUCCGCCGCCCGGCGGGACCCGUCCACCGGCUCCCUCGCCGCCACGCCGUGGGCCGCCACGCAGCGCCGCGGCGCGAAGAUGCUCGGCUCCGACGUGAAACUUGGAAAUGUGAUACAGAGAAGAGGCCGCAUUUAUCAGGUGAUAAAAUCGCAUCAUUCACAUCAAGGAAGAGGAGGAGCCACAAUACAGGUGGAACUGAGGGAUGUUGACACUGGUAACAAAAUAGUUGAAAGAUUUCGUACCGACGAGGCUCUUGAGAGAGUUUUUGUUGAGGAUAAACCUUUCACAUAUCUGUAUCAGGAAGGAGACAACGUGGCACUUAUGGAGCCUAACACGUUUGAGCAACUCGAGGUUUCAAAGGAACUGUUUGGCAAAAACGCUGCAUAUCUGAAAGAUGAGAUGAAGGUAACUGUACAAUUUUUUGAUGGCCGAGCGUUGUCUGGCUCAGUGCCUCCUCGUGUGACUUGCACUGUUGUUGAAGCACAGCCUAAUGCAAAAGGCCUAACUGCUACACCUCAAUAUAAAAGGGUCUUGCUGGAUAAUGGCCUUACAGUGCUUGCCCCGCCAUUUGUUGAAGUGGGUGAGAACAUUGUUGUUAGUACUGUGGAUGAUUCAUAUAUGACUAGGGCCUAA
rnacentral:rRNA from 1 species